GGAUUUGGAGCCCAUAGAUGUGGAAGAACAUAGAAUUGAAAUUGAUUUACAUGCAAAGCAAGGGUUAAAAUUGUCAUACAAUCACAUUAAAGUAGUUAGACAGUAAAAUAGAGAUCAAACCUGAGAGAUAAGCAAGAAAAAUACAUUCAUUUAAUGGCAUACAUGCAAUAGCUGCUUUCUCAAUUCCAAAGCAUAUGAAUGAAAAAAGUAAGCAUGCAUGGACAUGCACAAGCUAGCUUAUGUUUUCAACAAGAGACCCAGCCAGCAACACACACAUGCACUGCUGAAUAAUAUUCUUAUUUCAGCAUUGUUUAUAGAGUAUAAAUGCACAAACUUCCACAAAGGGGAACAUUAC
rnacentral:misc_RNA from 1 species